rnacentral:rRNA from 1 species
ACUCAAAGGAAUUGACGGGGGCCCGCACAAGCGGCGGAGCAUGUGGAUUAAUUCGAUGCAACGCGAAGAACCUUACCUGGGUUUGACAUGCACUGGACGCUGCCAGAGAUGGUAGUUCCCUUGUGGCUGGUGCACAGGUGGUGCAUGGCUGUCGUCAGCUCGUGUCGUGAGAUGUUGGGUUAAGUCCCGCAACGAGCGCAACCCUUGUCCCAUGUUGCCAGCGGGUAAUGCCGGGGACUCAUGGGAGACUGCCGGGGUCAACUCGGAGGAAGGUGGGGAUGAGGUCAAGUCAUCAUGCCCCUUAUGUCCAGGGCUUCACACAUGCUACAAUGGCCGGUACAGAGGGCUGCGAAACCGUGAGGUGGAGCGAAUCUCAGAAAGCCGGUCUCAGUUCGGAUCGCAGUCUGCAACUCGACUGCGUGAAGUCGGAGUCGCUAGUAAUCGCAGAUCAGCAACGCUGCGGUGAAUACGUUCCCGGGCCUUGUACACACCGCCCGU